CCCCGCCCCCCACCCCCCCAACCUUCGCCCUGCUGGCGAACACCGCUGGAGCACACGGGACAAACAGGUUUUAUGGAGUCGGGAUGCACGUUUGGCGACAUGAAAAAGAAAAAAAAAGACGCUGAAAUAAAAUAAAACAGUUUCAAAAGGGGCUUGGAACCAAACUGCAACAGCGCAACAGAAAUUGAAGGGGGAAGAAUCAUAUCACAGAAUUUUAAAGACUGCUUUUGGAUGUUCCAGAACUUCCGGAAUUCAGCGGAACACUGUGUGUGUGUGGCAGCAAGGGUGUCUCUGGACCUGGGCUGACAUCCUCCCCCCAAUGAACCUUUUUCAGACCGGGUGGGACCACUACAAAAAAAAAAAAAAGCUGAAAAAAAGAACAAAAAAGAAACAGCUGACUGACUCCCCCCAGGGCAGGUCCAGAAGAAGAGGUGCCCUGGAGAGCCGUGAUGACUUAAAAAAAAAAAAAAAAAAAAACUUUUUUUUGGAAAAAAAAAAAAAAAUCUUUACCAUGCAGGGCUCGAACCAACGAAAAUCAAAUGGAGGAGGCAGAUACUUUUUUAAAAAUAACAGUUAUGAACAUUAAAGUGAACUGCAUUUCAGAGGAAAGGAUCUUUUUUUUUUUAAGGGGGUGUGAUAUUUCGGGACACAAACUUAUAGUGAUUCGGUUGGCCAUCUUUACUUGGAGUGCCUGUCCGUUUCCAGGGGAUACAGUUGCCGUGGCAAGCUGUGGCAACAAUCUCUCGGGAGUCUUACCCAUCAUUCCUCAGUUGAUUUAGGGACCAAAUGACCAAACAUUUUUAUCACGUAAAGACUUGUAGCUGUAAGAUACUUGGACCAUCACAUCUCUUUUGCUGUUUGAGCAAGCUUAAGAGUUAUGUUUGAAGGUAAAAAAAAAUGUAAAAUGAUAAUAUAAAUAUAUAUAUAUACAAUAUAUAUACUGUAUAUACAUACAUAUAUAUUGCUGGUAUGCUUUUUAAAAAUGGCAACUCUAUUUCAGAUCUGUGAGAACACUCAUUUCGCUAGUUUACAAUAACUACUCAAUAUCAGAGUAUUUAUUUUUCUCUCUUCUUUUCACCUGAAUCUGAACAAAACCUGAACCUGAUAGUUAAAUGAACAUAAAUAUAUAUGUGUGUACAAAAUAUAUGAACAUGUUUAUAUUUACAGUACAUAUAUAUGUAUAACAUACACAUGCAAAAGUAUUCAUACAUAUCUGCGCAUAUAUAUGAAUACAUAUGUUACUCAAACUUAUAUGUGUUUAUAUGCAUAUAUUUUAUAUAUAUGUGUGUGUAUAUAGAACCGCUAUUGAACCUAAUAUGUAGAACUGUAAUUUUACUGUAGAUUUUAGCUGGUCUCCUACACUGCUCUUGCCAAUCUGCUUUAGACUGAACUGGGUAGAAUAGCGACUACGGCAGCUCCCAAACUGCAAGCAUUCCACUCUCUCUGAAAUAUAUGUGCUCACAUAUAUAUUUACACAUAUAUAUGUGCGUGUGUAUAUUGAUACCUGUACAUAUGUGUAUAUGUUAUUUUGAAACUGCGGCAGGCCAGUUCUCAGAGCAGGCGCGCUUCAAGAACGACAGGCUGUCUGAUCUUCCCUGAAGAAAGGGGGUCGCCAUAGCUCAGGAGGUAAGAGCGGUUGUCUGGCAGUCGGAGGGUUGCCGGUUCGAUCCCCCCGCCCUGGGCGUGUCGAAGUGUCCCUUGAGCAAGACACCUAACCCCUAACCGCUCCGGUGAAUGAGAGGCAUCAAUUGUAAAGCGCUUUGGAUAAAAGCGCUAUAUAAAUGCAGUCCAUUUACUGGGGGGGGGCUGCUGUCGUAAAACAACGAUCUUCCCGAUCUUCCCUGCCAGACGCCGAGCGAAGAAUCAGCCAUCUGUUAAACUUGAACCCGAAGUCGACAUAUCAUAGCCGCUAUUAAUCUGUCCGAGAGGGGCGGCCCCCUCCCGCUUCGGCAGGUGCCCCGCCCGCGUCACCCGACGCACCCGUCCCGGCGGCAUCCUUCAGUCACGGGCGGCCCCGUUUCCUAUUUACGCCCAAAACCCCACUUUCGAGUCUAGUUUAACCCAGAAGUAUCGCUAAUUUAGCCACCCGCUAUUGCUAAUUGCAAAUGUAAAAAAAAAAAAAAAAAAAAAAAAAUUAAAUUUAUUAAAAAUAAAAGAAAAAAAAAGCACUGCGUUUUCGUAGCGGACGGCGGACGCCGAAGAAGAUGCAGGGGGCAGUGUGUCGGAGCAAGCGGUGGCGACUUGCCACCGCGUACGCGGUCACGCGAUCGGAGAGCACGCCGGUGAAAGCAGCGUGUCCGUCCCAUCUGGUUCAUCUGGAGGUGGAGUCCUGCGCGUCCCCCGCCGGUCAACCUGCUGCGUACGUCCGACUACGUCCGGCGGAAAACGUUUUGUCUCGCGACGCGAGCUGUCUGAGCUGGCCAAUGAAACGGUGCAGAUUAGGGUAGUUCUCUUAAGCCCUCAUUUUCAGCAGUUCAGCCUCCUAAAGCAACCGUUUAAAAAACUGGCGGUGGGAGGGGUGGAGGUGGAUGAACCAAAAGCUGCAGGCAUUACAGAUGCAAAAGAGUUUUAUGCUACGGGAAGACGAACCAAAAUAUCCAGAUGGCGAUGGAAACGUGCGGCAUCUCUGUACUUGUGUGUUCGGUUUCCCCUGAACUUUGUUUUCGCGUAGACCUAUCCUAAAACCAGAAAGGCGGAGUCUCUGGCUGUCACAGACCCCGCCCCCCCCGCUUGUACAUCCAAUCCUGAGACAGACAGACCUAUCAGAUGUCUAACUCCUCCCCUUUGCCAUUACGGUCCAUCAGCUCAGCUGCAACUGUUUACAUAAAACAAUUCAACAGAACAAAGUGUUUAAAAAAAAAAAAAAAAGAUUGAGAGACAGAGCAGAGCUUUUAAUAUAUAUAAAUCAAUGAAUAUAUGUAAAUGUUUCUUUUUUGUUGCUCUGUUUUUCUCUGUAAAUAGGUUUGCAUAUUUUAUAGGACUUUUACUUCUACCUACAAGGACUUGGUAAAGAGCAAACUUUAAAUACUUAUAAAAGACAAAGGGAAAAGAGUAAUAAAAAAAACAGGUAACAAGGAGUUGUAGGGGUCUAUGGCAUGAGUGGAGGGUGUGCAAAUCCAGGUUUUUAACAAGAGAACUGUCAGGGAGUGCAUUGAAUUCAAUAUAAAGAAAUUUAGAUUAGCAUUUAUUUUCACAUUUAUCUAAAUACACAUUAUUUAUUUAUUUAUUUAUUUAUUUAUUUAUUUAUUUAAUUUAUUUAUUUUAUUUAUUUAUUUCCUGGCAUUUUUCUACCAAACUGCCAAUGAUUCCUACCUGUUGUGUUAUUUAUUAUAUUUGCUGAAAAGUUUGUGCUGAGGGUCAUGUUUCUGUGAGCACAUGGGGUUUUUUUAAAUUAUUUAUUUGCGACGGACACGAGAGGAAUGCUCUCCGUAGCAGCGAGUCCUCAUUCCUGAAGCCAGGCUUCAGCUUCGUUUCUGAACCCCACAUUUACCCAAGCAAACGCUGAAUAAAACACUACCGUAUCGACUAAGUCCUGCAAGGAGAAUAUUACAUCACUGGAAUGGACAACAGUAAAAAAAAAGAAAACAAUAAAAAAUACAUUUUAUAAAACUAAAAAGAUCAGUGAUGUUCACGUCCAAUCAUAUGAAUGUAUGUAUUGCAUUCAAGUAAUUCUGCACUUGUUUCAGCUUUCCAGGCUGAACUCUACCUGGAUCUGCCCAAUACUUCUUCUCUUGAGGCUUCUUAACCAACCAGAGACAAAUGGACGUCUCUGGCUGGUUUUGACCAACAAAAGCCUGUCAGAAAAUCCAUAAGUUCUCCAUCGACCACUCUCUGAUCAUUUUAAGACAUACAGAAAACCAUUUCUUCAAAACUUCCAGGGUAGUAGUUUGUACAUGCUGGCAACAGCACUUUUUUGGAAACCGAGUGAAAAGCUAGACUCACUCUUCCAGUAGUAGUUUUAACUUCUUUUUUUUCUGUUGCCUUGUCUUUUUCCACCCAAUUGCUAAAAGAAAAACACACCUUUCCUCAACAGAAGUUUAGAUCUCCCUGCUGAAACGAACAUUUGUGGCAGGUAAAACGCACUCCUGGUUUCGAUCCGGGUUUGAAAGAAAAAGUCUGCCAUGAUCAUUGGUCCACAUAGCGACUCAACACAUAUCAAAAAUCUGCAGCUUUACUUUACCAUUAAAAGGGGGUUCACAAGGCUGACAGUGGAGGUCAAUCUACCUGCCUCUCAGCUCCUAAACUCUAAGCUCACAGAACAUAUCCCAGCAUGCUCUUGGUGCCAACUAGUACUGUGUACAUUUCAUGAAUGCAACUCAUUUUCAUUUCCUGCUCUCGAUUGGGGUUAUCCUUUGGCGAUCCUCUUGACCCAUCCUUUCGGUCAGAGCACAAGACAGGCUUGACCCUCAUUCUCUGAGGUGAUCCGCAGUUUGGAGUCAUCUACAGCAGGACUCUCUCUCUCAAAACCGCACUCCCACUAGAAACUGCACUAAAUCCAAACCCGUGGAAAUAUCAGCAAAACACAUCGACAACAAUUUGUGAGGCUUGUUGGGAACUUGACCUUAGAGAACUUACCCCCCACCACACCCCACUUAAACCCCACUUUGGGGUCCGAACUGCUCGUUGCUGCAGCCUACUGCUAUUCCCUUGACUAUACCCUUGAGUUCCUUGUCUUAUCACUUGCUGAUCUGAUGAUGAAGUCAUGUGUAUACAGUUUCACCACUGGGGG